UCCAGACUCCUACGGGAGGCAGCAGUGAGGAAUAUUGGUCAAUGGUCGGGAGACUGAACCAGCCAAGCCGCGUGAGGGAGGAAGGUACAGAGUAUCGUAAACCUCUUUUGUCAGGGAACAAAGACUGGGACGCGUCCCCGGAUGAGUGUACCUGAAGAAAAAGCAUCGGCUAACUCCGUGCCAGCAGCCGCGGUAAUACGGAGGAUGCGAGCGUUAUCGGGAUUUAUUGGGUUUAAAGGGUGCGCAGGCGGUGUGUAAAGGCGGGGGUAAACCCCGGGGGCACACCCCCGGCGAGCCGUUGAAACUGGCUGUCUUGAGAUGUCGAGAGGUAUGCGGAAUGCGCAGUGUAGCGGUGAAAUGCUUAGAUAUUGCGCAGAACUCCGAUUGCGAAGGCAGCAUACCGGCGGCGAUCUGACGCUGAGGCACGAAAGCGUGGGUAUCGAACAGGAUUAGAUACCCGAGUAUG
rnacentral:rRNA from 1 species